rnacentral:rRNA from 1 species
GACGAACGCUGGCGGCGUGCUUAACACAUGCAAGUCGAACGGAAAGGCCCUGCUUUUGUGGGGUGCUCGAGUGGCGAACGGGUGAGUAACACGUGAGUAACCUGCCCUUGACUUUGGGAUAACUUCAGGAAACUGGGGCUAAUACCGGAUAGGAGCUCCUGCUGCAUGGUGGGGGUUGGAAAGUUUCGGCGGUUGGGGAUGGACUCGCGGCUUAUCAGCUUGUUGGUGGGGUAGUGGCUUACCAAGGCUUUGACGGGUAGCCGGCCUGAGAGGGUGACCGGCCACAUUGGGACUGAGAUCCGGCCCAGACUCCUACGGGAGGCAGCAGUGGGGAAUAUUGCACAAUGGGCGGAAGCCUGAUGCAGCAACGCCGCGUGCGGGAUGACGGCCUUCGGGUUGUAAACCGCUUUCGCCUGUGACGAAGCGUGAGUGAGGGUAAUGGGUAAAGAAGCACCGGCUAACUACGUG